rnacentral:rRNA from 1 species
ACGGGGAGCACCACGAACGGGUGGAGCUUGCGGUUUAAUUGGAUUCAACGCCGGAAAUCUUACCGGGACCGACAGCAAUAUGAAGGCCAGGCUGAAGACUUUGCUGGAUUAGCUGAGAGGUGGUGCAUGGCCGUCGUCAGUUCGUACUGUGAAGCAUCCUGUUAAGUCAGGCAACGAGCGAGACCCACGCCCACAGUUGCCAGCGUACUCUCCGGAGUGACGGGUACACUGUGGGGACCGCCGCUGCUAAAGCGGAGGAAGGAAUGGGCAACGGUAGGUCAGUAUGCCCCGAAUAUCCCGGGCUACACGCGAGCUACAAUGGUUGGUACAAUGGGUAUCUACCCCGAAAGGGGACGGGAAUCUCCUAAAACCAAUCUUAGUUCGGAUUGAGGGCUGCAACUCGCCCUCAUGAAGCUGGAAUCCGUAGUAAUCGCGUUUCAACAGAACGCGGUGAAUACGUCCCUGCUCCUU